rnacentral:rRNA from 1 species
AACGAACGCCGGCGGCCGGCUUAACACCUGCAAGUCGAACGCACCGCAAGGGGAGCGGCAGACGGGUGAGUAACGCGAGGGAAUCUACUCAUCUCUACGGAAUAACGCAUGGAAACGUGUGCUAAUACCGCAUACUUCACUCGGGAGGAAGAUUUAUCGGAGAAGGAUGAGCCCGCGUUGGAUUAGCUAGUUGGUGGGGUAAAGGCCUACCAAGGCGACGAUCCAUAGCUGGUCUGAGAGGAUGAUCAGCCACACUGGGACUGAGACACGGCCCAGACUCCUACGGGAGGCAGCAGUGGGGAAUAUUGAGCAAUGGGCGCAAGCCUGAUCCAGCCAUGCCGCGUGAGUGAUGAAGGCCCUAGGGUUGUAAAGCUCUUUCACCGGUGAAGAUAAUGACGGUAACCGGAGAAGAAGCCCCGGCUAACUUCGUGCCAGCAGCCGCGGUAACAC